rnacentral:rRNA from 1 species
UACGUAGGGUGCGAGCGUUAAUCGGAAUUACUGGGCGUAAAGGGUGCGUAGGCGGUUCUGUAAGUCAGAUGUGAAAUCCCCGGGCUUAACCUGGGAACUGCGUUUGAAACUACAGAGCUAGAGUGUGGCAGAGGGGGGUGGAAUUCCAUGUGUAGCAGUGAAAUGCGUAGAGAUAUGGAAGAACAUCGAUGGCGAAGGCAGCCCCCUCGGGUUAACG